rnacentral:rRNA from 1 species
AGCGAACGCUGGCGGCAGGCUUAACACGUGCAAGUCGAACGCCCCGCAAGGGGAGUGGCAGACGGGUGAGUAACACGUGGGAACGUACCCUUUGGUUCGGAAUAACUUGGGGAAACUCAAGCUAAUACCGGAUAAGCCCUUAUGGGGAAAGGGUUACUGCCGAAGGAUCGGCCCGCGUCUGAUUAGCUAGUUGGUGAGGUAAUGGCUCACCAAGGCGACGAUCAGUAGCUGGUCUGAGAGGAUGAUCAGCCACACUGGGACUGAGACACGGCCCAGACUCCUACGGGAGGCAGCGGUGGGGAAUAUUGGACAAUGGGGGCAACCCUGAUCCAGCCAUGCCGCGUGAGUGAUGAAGGCCUUAGGGUUGUAAAGCUCUUUUACCCGGGACGAUAAUGACUGUACCGGGAGAAUAAGCCCCGGCUAACUUCGUGCCAGCAGCCGCAGUAA